AAGCCAUGAUGUGGGCAUUGAGACCAAUAGCCCUUGAAUUGAGACCAAUAGCCCUUGAACCUCUCCCAAGCUUCACUAAAGCCCUCUAGGUUCUUCUGCUAAAAGCUAGAGAUCUCAUUCCUGAUCUU
rnacentral:snoRNA from 1 species